GAUGAACGCUAGCUGGGAGGCUUAACACAUGCCCCUUUAGGGGCAGCACGAGGUAGCAAUACUUUGGUGGCGACCGGCGCACGGGUGAGUAACGCGUAUGUAACCUACCCUGUACAGGGGGAUAGCCCGGAGAAAUUCGGAUUAAUACCCCAUAAAGAUAUGAGAUGGCAUCAUUUUAUAUUUAAAGUUCCGACGGUACGGGAUGGGCAUGCGUAACAUUAGCUAGUUGGCAGGGUAACGGCCUACCAAGGCAGCGAUGUUUAGGGGUCCUGAGAGGGUGAUCCCCCACACUGGUACUGAGACACGGACCAGACUCCUACGGGAGGCAGCAGUGAGGAAUAUUGGUCAAUGGGCGCAAGCCUGAACCAGCCAUCCCGCGUGCAGGAAGAAGGCGCUAUGCGUUGUAAACUGCUUUUGCAGGGGAAGAAUGUUUCGCAUGUAUGCGGAAUUGACGGUACCUUGUGAAUAAGCAUCGGCUAACUCCGUGCCAGCAGCCGCGGUAAUACGGAGGAUGCGAGCGUUAUCCGGAUUUAUUGGGUUUAAAGGGUGCGUAGGCGGAUUGAUAAGUCAGUGGUGAAAUACUGCAGCUUAACUGUAGAAUUGCCGUUGAUACUGUCAGUCUUGAGUAUGGUUAAGGUAGGCGGAAUGUGUAAUGUAGCGGUGAAAUGCUUAGAUAUUACACAGAACACCAAUUGCGAAGGCAGCUUACUGAGCCAAAACUGACGCUGAGGCACGAAAGCGUGGGGAGCGAACAGGAUUAGAUACCCUGGUAGUCCACGCCGUAAACGAUGAUCACUCGCUGUUAGCGAUACACAGUUAGCGGCUAAGCAAAAGCAUUAAGUGAUCCACCUGGGGAGUACGGCCGCUAGGCUGAAACUCAAAGGAAUUGACGGGGGCCCGCACAAGCGGAGGAACAUGUGGUUUAAUUCGAUGAUACGCGAGGAACCUUACCUAGAUUUGACUUGUAACUGCAAAUCCCUGGAAACAGGGACUCCUUCGAGGGUGUUACACAGCUGCUGCAUGGUUGUCGUCAGUUCGUGUCGUGAGGCGUCGGCUUAAGUCCCGUAACGAACGCAACCCCUGUGCUAUGUUA
rnacentral:rRNA from 1 species